AGAGAUGGGGGUUCCGUAAGGCGGGUGCACAGGUGGUGCAUGGUUGUCGUCAGCUCGUGUCGUGAGAUGUUGGGUUAAGUCCCGCAACGAGCGCAACCCUUGUUCCAUGUUGCCAGCGGGUGAUGCCGGGGACUCAUGGGAGACUGCCGGGGUCAACUCGGAGGAAGGUGGGGAUGACGUCAAAUCAUCAUGCCCCUUAUGUCUUGGGCUUCACGCAUGCUACAAUGGCCGGUACAAAGGGUUGCGAUCCUGUGAGGGGGAGCGAAUCCCAAAAAGCCGGUCUCAGUUCGGAUUGGGGUCUGCAACUCGACCCCAUGAAGUCGGAGUCGCUAGUAAUCGCAGAUCAGCAACGCUGCGGUGAAUACGUUCUCGGGCCUUGUACACACCGCCCGUCACGUCACGAAAGUCGGUAACACCCGAAGCCGGUGGCCUAACCCGUUCGCGGGGGGGAGUCGUCGAAGGUGGGACUGGUGAUUGGGACG
rnacentral:rRNA from 1 species